CCUUACACAUGCAAGUCGAACGGCAGCACGGGAGCAAUCCUGGUGGCGAGUGGCGAACGGGUGAGUAAUACAUCGGAACGUGCCCAAUCGUGGGGGAUAACGCAGCGAAAGCUGUGCUAAUACCGCAUACGAUCUACGGAUGAAAGCAGGGGACCGCAAGGCCUUGCGCGAAUGGAGCGGCCGAUGGCAGAUUAGGUAGUUGGUGGGGUAAAGGCUCACCAAGCCAACGAUCUGUAGCUGGUCUGAGAGGACGACCAGCCACACUGGGACUGAGACACGGCCCAGACUCCUACGGGAGGCAGCAGUGGGGAAUUUUGGACAAUGGGCGCAAGCCUGAUCCAGCCAUGCCGCGUGCAGGAUGAAGGCCUUCGGGUUGUAAACUGCUUUUGUACGGAACGAAAAGUCUCUUUCUAAUAAAGAGGGAUCAUGACGGUACCGUAAGAAUAAGCACCGGCUAACUACGU
rnacentral:rRNA from 1 species